rnacentral:rRNA from 1 species
CCUACGGGAGGCAGCAGUGGGGAAUUUUGGACAAUGGGCGCAAGCCUGAUCCAGCAAUGCCGCGUGAGUGAAGAAGGCCUUCGGGUUGUAAAGCUCUUUUGUCAGGGAAGAAACGGCUGAGGUUAAUACCUUUGGCUAAUGACGGUACCUGAAGAAUAAGCACCGGCUAACUACGUGCCAGCAGCCGCGGUAAUACGUAGGGUGCAAGCGUUAAUCGGAAUUACUGGGCGUAAAGCGUGCGCAGGCGGUUUUGUAAGUCUGACGUGAAAUCCCCGGGCUCAACCUGGGAAUUGCGUUGGAGACUGCAAGGCUGGAGUCUGGCAGAGGGGGGUAGAAUUCCACGUGUAGCAGUGAAAUGCGUAGAGAUGUGGAGGAACACCGAUGGCGAAGGCAGCCCCCUGGGUCAAGACUGACGCUCAUGCACGAAAGCGUGGGGAGCAAACAGGAUUAGAUACCCUGGUAGUCCACGCCCUAAACGAUGUCUACUAGUUGUCGGGUCUUAAUUGACUUGGUAACGCAGCUAACGCGUGAAGUAGACCGCCUGGGGGAGGACGGUCGUCGAGAGUUAAACGUUAAAGUUAAGUUAGUAGNGGNGNGAGAGCGACGACGACGACGACGGAGGAGGNGG